rnacentral:rRNA from 1 species
UACGAAGGGGGCUAGCGUUGCUCGGAAUCACGGGGCGUAAAGGGCGCGUAGGCGGCCAUUCAAGUCAGAGGUGAAAGCCCAAGGCUCAACCUUGGAACUGCCUUUGAUACUGUUUGGCUUGAGACCGGUAGAGGUAAGUGGAACUGCGAGUGUAGAGGUGAAAUUCGUAGAUAUUCGCAAGAACACCAGUGGCGAAGGCGGCUUACUGGACCGGUUCUGACGCUGAGGCGCGAAAGCGUGGGGAGCAAACAGG